rnacentral:lncRNA from 10 species
GCUGGUCUUGAACUCCUGACCUCAGGCCAGGAUCCUCCCGCCUCGGCCUCCCAAAGUGCUAGGAUUACAGGCGUGAGCCACUGUGCCCAGCCAUCAGUGAUUUUUUUUUUUUCUUAAGAAUCUAUCCAAAUGACGAAAGUUGAUGGUUACUACAAAUAAUCAGAAAUACAAAUGGAAAGACUGAACAUUGGGUUUCUGUCCAGACUUUUCAAGCUUAGACCUCUCUGCAGACUCCUCUUAGCUCACCAUCACGUCUUACUCUCCCCUUACCCACCUAUCCAUUCCUGAUCUUUGCUUGUGACAAGAUAACCUGUGUAGGGACUGCUUCCUACGUGAAGUGGUCCCCAGAAGGAAGCAGAUUGGAAGGUCCUAGAAAUAGGAGGUGCAGACAUGCACUGAGCAGGAGCCGCUGGCAUCUUUGCUGGUGACUUUGAGACCCCUUCCUCAGGCACUUGUCUUUGAAUGGUGGUCUUACCUGCAAUUUUGCUGUGAGCUCUGGAGUGCAGAGAGCCCCCCAUCUUGGUCUAUCUCAUAUGUAUGACGGUGACCCUCAAACUUCAGCAUGACUUCGUCGUCCCCACAACCUGGUGUUGGGUCUGAUCACCCCAACAUUCCUGGCUGCCCAACGUGGGGCGACAAAGACCCCGGUGAAGGAACACUAGAGCAUGUGAAAGCGGAGGACACAUUGUCACAGGACACCCAAGAACGUCGAACGUCUAAAAGAAGCUCGGCAGGAAAGCUGAGCACUGGGAAGAACCAGGGUAACAAUGGGACAAAGUGAAAGCAGACAUUCUGCUUAUUUAGAUUUCUUAAAGCAUUUAUUACAAAGAGGGGGGCAUGAAAGUUAGUACUCACAAUUUGUUAAUCACUCUUUAGUACAGUAAAGCAGUUUUGCCCAUGGUUUCCUGAACAAGGGACUAUGGAGUUGAAUAAAUGGGAGAGAACUGGGGGAGACUUUAAAAAGGCAUAUAAAGAGGGAGCAGAAGUUCUAGUUUCCGUUUGGUCAAUGUGGGUGCUAAUAAAGGCAGCUCUUAAGCCAUUUCAAACAGAUCAUGAGGCAGAUUCAGAUGAGGAAGAGGAGGACAAGUGUAAAAAACUAACUUCAGAUUCUGAGUGUGAGGAACAGCUACCGGAGGAGAUGAAAGAAAGGAAAACUGAAAAAAGUAUGUUUUACUAGCCUGUCGGCUCCACCUGCUGAAUUAAGUGAAUGGCCACCUCCUCUCUCUCCCUUUAAUGGGCAAGAAAAUAAAUUAGCCGAAAAACUUACUGCUUCUGUAGUUGCAACAUUAAAACUGGAGCAAUUGGUGGUGCUAUACAAAAUUCUAUUCAAAAAGCUAGAGCUGAGGGAGACCUUGAAGCAUGGCAAUUUCCCGUUACUAUAAUCCAGUAGGGAGGCAGGGCUAAUAUAGCUAAUUGGGCUACUUUUCCUUUUAAGUUACUAAAGGAAUUGAAGGACGCCAUUAGUCAAUACGGACCGAACCCUCCUUUUGUGCAAAC